CCUACGGGAGGCAGCAGUGGGGAAUUUUGGACAAUGGGCGCAAGCCUGAUCCAGCAAUGCCGCGUGAGUGAAGAAGGCCUUCGGGUUGUAAAGCUCUUUUGUCAGGGAAGAAACGGCUGAGGAUAAUACCUUCGGCUAAUGACGGUACCUGAAGAAUAAGCACCGGCUAACUACGUGCCAGCAGCCGCGGUAAUACGUAGGGUGCAAGCGUUAAUCGGAAUUACUGGGCGUAAAGCGUGCGCAGGCGGUUUUGUAAGUCUGUCGUGAAAGCCCCGGGCUCAACCUGGGAAUUGCGAUGGAGACUGCAAGGCUUGAAUCUGGCAGAGGGGGGUAGAAUUCCACGUGUAGCAGUGAAAUGCGUAGAGAUGUGGAGGAACACCGAUGGCGAAGGCAGCCCCCUGGGUCAAGAUUGACGCUCAUGCACGAAAGCGUGGGGAGCAAACAGGAUUAGAUACCCUGGUAGUCCACGCCCUAAACGAUGUCUACUAGUUGUCGGGUUUUAAUUAACUUGGUAACGCAGCUAACGCGUGAAGUAGACCGCCUGGGGAGUACGGUCGCAAGNUUAAAACNCAAAGUGAGUAGAGNGNGAGAGNGCGAGACGACACGAGGGAGGAGG
rnacentral:rRNA from 1 species